CCUCGCGAGUGGGAGCGCGGCCGGGGUUGAGGACAGAGCUGUUGAGUGUGGUGUGGCGUGCAUGGUACGUGUGGGCUGACUGUGAGCGUGGGUGUGGGAGUGCGUGUGCGCGCGUGGGGCGAGCAAGGCGAGUGUGUGUGUCCGCCCCGCGCCCCUCCCCCGCCUACACCUUGAUCUUAUUUGAUCGGGUCGUGACCCCCGCCCCGCCGGGCCGCCCCGAAAUGAAAAGCAGCCCUCCUGCGAAGCCCCUCUGCGGGGCGCUGUGCAGCGAGGCCCAUGGGCGGUGGCAGUGCCGCGGCUCCCCAGGUCUCGGUCCUGCGGGCCCGGUGCUCAGAAGUGAUGAAUUGAUCAGAUAGACGAGGCCGGGCCUGUCCCAGCCGCUGAUUACCGAGGCGAUUCUGAUCUGA
ensembl:scaRNA small Cajal body-specific RNA 2